GUGUGUGUGUGUGUGUGUGCUGUGAGAUUGGUAAGCAAUACAUUAGUAAACACAUCUUCAUUACUCUUUUCCGAUACUGGACCAAUGAUGUCCUAACUGUACAUUUCCUUCCCCUUAUGAUGACGACGCUCUGACUCAUUUAGGUAGAAACAUUUGACCACCUUUCAUUCCAUUGAUUUUCUUUUUCUCCUUUCUGUGUUAUUCUUAAGGGAAAAGAGAGAGAGAAAGAGAGGGGGAUAGCAUAGAUCCCCUUGAGCAGAGAAAAAGCAAAAUAUUUUAUUAAAGAAAAAAAGAGAAAUUAAGAAAAUAGUUUGGAGUAUUUUCUUACUGUAGAGAAGCAUUGUACAUUACCACGAGACCUGGGUAUAAGAUGCUCACGUGUGGCGCUGGGGAGCGCAUGUCCAAGCCCAUUUGAGUGGUUUCUUUUGUUUCUCAUUGCAGGGAGUGGGUGGGAGGGAGGGAGGACUAAGGGCACUUUCGGGGGUCUCCUUUUAGUCAAAAGCAAGAAAAUGACAAGAAAGAGAUUAAAUUCAAUGUUUUCCUUGAAUAGUGUUAAACACUAAAAUUUUAAAACAAGAAAGAAAAAACUUUGUAAAAUGCAAGAACAGAAGCAAAAGACACUACGCUGUCAUUUUUAUCUUUCUUUUGUUGAAAGAUUAAAAACUGAAAUGUUUUUUAGACAAUCAAAUGUUAGGUAAGUGCAAAAACUUGUUUUUCUUACUGGUGUAGAAAUUAAUGCCUUUUUUAUUUUUCAGUUAUUUUAUAAUAACAAAAUAAAAACAACCCCCAGCUGCCAGGUGGGUUUUGGUGUUCGAAAUGCGGGGCAAAGCACUACAUCACUGCAAAUAGAUACAGAGUUAGUCUGCAUGUCUGUAGGCUGUGUGAUUGCGGAAAAUAUAAAUGCUGCUAAUAUAUUUCCUUUUUACAGAAAAGCAUAUCUAAAUAGAUGAUUGUUUUGAUGUUAAUCUUUGUAAAUUAUGUAUUACCAAUUUUAACAUUGGAUGUAAUUGCAUAAAGGCUUGCAUCUCAAUCCUUGAAAGUCUAGCAUUAAAUGGAAACAACUUUUCCUAACUGUGGAGUGGC
rnacentral:lncRNA from 1 species